rnacentral:rRNA from 1 species
UUGGAGGGCAAGUCUGGUGCCAGCAGCCGCGGUAAUUCCAGCUCCAAUAGCGUAUAUUAAAGUUGUUGCAGUUAAAAAGCUCGUAGUUGAAUUUCGGGAUCAAGGGAUCGGUCAUGCCUUGGUAUGUACUGGUUUUAUUGGUUCUCACCUUCUAAAGAACCAUAAUGUCAUUUAUUUGAUGUUAUGGGGAAUUAGGACUGUUACCUUGAAAAAAUUAGAGUGUUUAAAGCAAGCUUACGCUUGAAUACAUUAGCAUGGAAUAAUGAAAUAGGACAUCAGAUUCUAUUUUGUUGGUUUCUAGGAUCGAUGUAAUGAUUAAUAGGGAUAGUUGGGGGCAUUAGUAUUCAAUUGUCAGAGGUGAAAUUCUUGGAUUCAUUGAAGACUAACUACUGCGAAAGCAUUUGCCAAGGAUGUUUUCAUUAAUCAAGAACGAAAGUUAGGGGAUCGAAGACGAUCAGAUACCGUCGUAGUCUUAACCAUAAACUAUGCCGACUAGGGAUCGGAUGAUGUUAAUUUUUUAAUGACUCAUUCGGCACCUUACGGGAAACCAAAGUGUUUGGGUUC